GAUGAACGCUGGCGGCGUGCCUAAUACAUGCAAGUCGAGCGAACGGAUAAGGAGCUUGCUCCUUUGAAGUUAGCGGCGGACGGGUGAGUAACACGUGGGUAACCUACCUAUAAGACUGGAAUAACUUCGGGAAACCGGAGCUAAUGCCGGAUAACAUUUGGAACUGCAUGGUUCUAAAGUAAAAGAUGGUUUUGCUAUCACUUAUAGAUGGACCCGCGCCUGAUUAGCUAGUUGGUAAGGUAACGGCUUACCAAGGCAACGAUACGUAGCCGACCUGAGAGGGUGAUCGGCCACACUGGAACUGAGACACGGUCCAGACUCCUACGGGAGGCAGCAGUAGGGAAUCUUCCGCAAUGGACGAAAGUCUGACGGAGCAACGCCGCGUGAGUGAUGAAGGUUUUCGGAUCGUACAACUCUGUUAUUAGGGAAGAACAAAUGUGUAAGUAACUGUGCACAUCUUGACGGUACCUAAUCAGAAAGCCACGGCUAACUACGUGCCAGCCGCCGCAGUAA
rnacentral:rRNA from 1 species